UACGGGGGGGGCAAGCGUUGUUCGGAAUUACUGGGCGUAAAGGGUCUGUAGGUGGCCAACUAAGUCAGACGUGAAAUCCCUCAGCUUAACUGGGGAACUGCGUCUGAGACUGGAUGGCUCGAGUGCAGGAGAGGAAGUGCGGAAUUCCAGGUGUAGCGGUGAAAUGCGUAGAUAUCUGGAGGAACACCGGUGGCGAAGGCGGCAUUCUGGACUGCAACUGACACUGAAAGACGAAAGCCAGGGAGCAAACGGG
rnacentral:rRNA from 1 species